rnacentral:lncRNA from 1 species
AUUUGCAUUGGCAUGCUGCUUGGGAGCAUCUCUGGAGGAGAGGCAUUUGUUGGUUGGGCUGGUGCAGAGUAGGGAGGGUACACUGUUGUCGUUGGGGGUCGGUUCUGAGGUUGCAUAGAUGGUUGUUGCGGCAUCUGUACCUGCUGAGGCAUCUGCUGUGGCAUUUGCUGAGUCAUCUGCUGAGGCCAUUGCUGCUGGUACUGAGGAAAAGAGGGGACUUGGGGUGCUUGAUUCACCUGAGAUUGUGCUGGCUGUGGUGCCACCCUAGGGAUGUCCUGCAGUUGCUGUGUCCGGUAUUGAGGAUCAGAUGGCAGAUAUUGACUCUGAGGGUGUUGG